rnacentral:sRNA from 1 species
GGCGGCGUCAAAGGUGAAGCAGGACAUGCCUCCGCCGGGGGGCUAUGGGCCCAUCGACUACAAACGGAACUUGCCGCGUCGAGGACUGUCGGGCUACAGCAUGCUGGCCAUAGGGAUUGGAACCCUGAUCUACGGGCACUGGAGCAUAAUGAAGUGGAACCGUGAGCGCAGGCGCCUACAAAUCGAGGACUUCGAGGCUCGCAUCGCGCUGUUGCCACUGUUACAGGCAGAAACCGACCGGAGGUAGCACCGCAGGGGCCAAGGUCGGGAGGUCACUGGCCGGAAGGCCCCAGGCUGCAGGGCCUGACCUGCAUCCCCGAAGGUGGCCAGAAUGCACGUGGGGGCCAUCACCCUGUGCCGUCAGCUGGCAUCCUCAGGCGUGGAGACUUAGUGGAGACCCAAGGGGGCGAAUCGGAAGGCUUCCUGGAGGAGGAGGCAGCACUGGGGUUGGGGCAAGAGAAAAGCUAGGAGUUGGCUGGGGGAAAAGGAGACAGGGUCGGAGGGAGGCUUGAAGGGGUGCUACCAGGGGCCCUAGGCAGGGGCCCCUCAGGGCACUGAGGCCCCACCCCCACCAUCGGCCCCAUCCCCACAGGA